GACGAACGCUGGCGGCGUGCUUAACACAUGCAAGUCGAGCGGGUAAGGCCCUUUCGGGGGUACACGAGCGGCGAACGGGUGAGUAACACGUGGGUGACCUGCCCUCAGCUCUGGGAUAAGACCUGGGAAACCGGGUCUAAUACUGGAUAUGACUCCCAUGACGCAUGGUUGUGGGGUGGAAAGCCUUGGUGCGGCUGAGGAUGGGCCCGCGGCCUAUCAGCUUGUUGGUGGGGGAUGGCCUACCAAGGCGACGACGGGUAGCCGGCCUGAGAGGGCGACCGGGCCAC
rnacentral:rRNA from 1 species